rnacentral:lncRNA from 1 species
GGAUUGUGUCUGCGUGAAAAUGUGAUUCUAAAUUUCCUGAUCUAAUCUGAGUGUCUUUGCAUAAAGAACUGCUAAUGUAUCAUAACAUUUUGGCAUAAAAAAAUUGUUACAGAUUUCGUUAACAAAACAUUUGAUAGCUUUGAUCCAGUUUUUGAUAUGACAUAUAAUUGGUGGAUGAUGAAUGGAAAUUGAUUGUCUUAAAG